AGAACAUCACAGAAAUAAACACGACGAGGCGUGAUCCGAAGCUGUGUUGGUGCUCCGAUCAUAAGAGUGAGACGGUCGCGGCGCUCAGUCAGUCCUGCCACCAGUCACCGCUCAGCCUCGGAUGGCAAGGGACACACGCUUACCUUUCCGACCCGGGUAUCCCCCUGUGUUUCAUUUGUGAUGAUUCUGUGACGCCUGUGGACGGCUGUGUGUCCCUGGCAUUCCUGCAACACACAUACAGACACCUUCAUUGACCACAGGAUUGACCGGACUCAGUUAAAUUGUACCGUGUGCGGCGUUGCGGUUCAUUACACCUGUCACAACGAGCGGCGCCAUCAGGCCACCACACACACACACACACACACACACAGAGAGAGCAGCAGCAGCACCAGGAUCGGGUGAGCGGAGCCAGACCUUCCCAUCACCAGCAGGUCAAAUGAAGGAAAGAGUUUUAAGUGCAGAAAAGUGAAAAUGUUUCAGAUAAAGUGAAGGAACCCAAGUGAAAUUUCGGAAAGUGUAAUCUGACAAAGAAAGGGCAGGAAGAAAGAAUGAAGAGGGCAAGGCGCAGCGGUACAGAAGGCAGGGACCACGGAAGGAUUCGAAUCAAGUUUCCAACAAGAACGAGGAGGAGGAGGAGAAAGGAAACCGGAACAAGGAGACAUGAAAGUUGGCAGUGCGUGUGGCUGUGGUGAGCGGCGGCGGCGGCGGCGGCGGCGGCGGCGGCGGCGGCGGCGGCGACGACGACGACGACGACGACGACGACGACGACGACGACGACGUGUGGCGUGGCGAGCGGGUUUUUGCAAUAUCCCUCUCCUUCCCGUUUUCUGUUAUUCCCCUUUCUCUUCCUCCGCCUCGUGUACUGCUACUCGCUCUUGUACGGUGACUUUUUUUUUUUUUUUCCUUCGUUGCAAUAUUUUGUCUAUUUUCUCUUUUCUUUUCUUCUCGUGCUUUUUUAUUCACAUUAUUAUUUCUUAUUCUAUUUUGUUUAUUUUGUGUGUUUGUACGUGUGUAUUUUCCUCUUCCACAUUUUAUUUGGAUUUUCUUAAUUUUUCUCGUAUUUUUCUAUUCUCCUAUUCUUCCUUGUAUCACACACACACACACACACACACACACGCCGCGUAGUGCAGUGGUUGUUAGCACGCUCGGCUCACAACCAAGAAGGCCUGGGUUGGAAUCCCGGGAGCGACGAGGCAAAUGGGUGAGCCUCUUAAUGUGUAGCCCCUGUUCACCUAGCAGCAAGUAGGUACGGGAUGUAACCCGAGGGGUUGUGACCUCGCUGUUUUAUUAUUAAAUAGUUUGCAUAUUUAUUUAUCUACAUAUAUUAUUUGCAUAUUUAUUUAUCUACAUAUAUUAUUUUUAUUUUAUUAUUAUUAUUAUUAUUAUUUAUUUUAUUUUAUUUAUUUAUUUAUUUAUUUUUUUUUUUUUGUGUGUGUGUGUGUGUGUGUGUGUGUGUGUGUGUCGGGGAUGAGUUUUACAGCUCUCAUCGCAAGUUGUAUUAAAAUUCAAUAGCCACAUUUGCUCGCUCGUGUAUAUAUUGUUUAGUGUUAUCAGCGGUUCUUAAGAAACAAGAUUUUAAGAGAUUAUAAACUUUACGUGAUAUUAAGUUUUGUUUGGUUAACACUUGAUGCGCUUCAUCCUUCUCUCGCUCCUUGUUCGUGUUUCAUUCUCUUUCCUCGUGUAAACUGCUGUCCUCAUUCGUUUGUUCCCUUCUUUUAUGCACUUCAACCAUCCAGCCACAAUUUCUCGGUUGCCUCUGCACUUGUGUUGUUGUCUUGUUCAUCUUGUAUUCUAAGGCAAUGGAACAGUCCGUUGAUUUCUGUUGCUAUUUUUAAAUUCUUGCACUAUAUACAUUUUUCAUAGAUUUUCCUGGAAACCAUGAUUUUAAGACCAAUUGGAAAGUGGUCGUGAUGGUCCUCGUCCAGCUCCUCGCCACCUCACCACACGCCACCACCGUCCCUGUUGAUGCUGCGUCAACUUUAUUGUUACCUGUCGAACUUCAUUGCAGUCCUCGCCGUUGCAUUCCCACAUGCGUCGCUGUCAUGGCACCCUGGCACCCUACAGCCACAACUGCUGCUGCUGUCUUUUAUCCUGUAACAGGCGUGUGAGCGGUGUUGUGAUCGUCGCCUAGAGGUGUCCAUGUUCCGGGAGUCGCUGCCCUUCCAGUCCCCCUCCGCUGUCUGUCUGAGCAACCUGGGUGAAGAGCGGCGGACGCCGCGUUCCAUGUUAAUGUUUGCUGACCAGCCGUCCUCUCCUAUUUUCUCGGUCCUAGCGAGGUGAAGGAGGGACGCUUGCUUCUGCGGCAAACAGAAGCAAUCCACGAGGACGACAGGAAGGUGCGAACGUUUGAGGUGGAUGAAAAUAAUUAAUUAAUUGCUCAAUAUGUUGCUGACCAGCAGUCUUCAACGUUCGCACCGUGUCGUCCUCGUGGGUUGCCAUCUUAAACGUUUAACCUUCACCACUUUAUCAGAAGCCGCCUCCUUUACUAACUAGUAGGGACUGGAGAGGCAAAGAGGACGGGGCUGAUCAGCAAACGGAUGGAGAAACCAAGAGUAUGCCAUCUCGUGUCUCCAACCCAACGGGGUGGUUGUAAGCACCGAGCAGAAUCAGGGAGCCAAGACGCAAGUAUGGGGAUAGCCCGCGAAUGCCCGGCGAUGUCUUUAGUACGAAAACUCUGGGAGGGUGAAGAGGCACGUGGCAUUCAGCGGGUGAGAACUCGCAUGUUGCUGGAAGACAAGUAAGUGUUGCAACUAUGGACAUCUACCACCAGAGCGGUAGCCGGCCAUUACGAAUUACCCACACCAUUUUGAGAUGAAGAACCGGAUCUGCCAAACAACAACAACGAGAUGGCGCAGAAACGCUUGAAGGGACAGACGACGCCUCGCUAGGGAUUCGGACUUCAGACGACGAUAUGCAGGAGAGAGAGAACACUUGCUGUUAAAGAGCGAUGCCAGCGUCUGAACGUGAAGGACCACGAGGAGUAACCUGGUGCCUGCCUCACCAUCCACUCAUGAACCCAAACAAACCUGAGAAAGUGAAGGCUUUGUUUGCGCAGCGAAGUACAACAACGUUUCCCUCAAAGACUGAGUGAUGCAGGUUCCUGACCUAAAUAGCAAACUGGUGGGUGCCCUUCUGCGUUUCCGAAGUGAACGGAUUGCCGCGAUGGCUGAUGUGAAGGCAAUGUUUCUCAUCAAGCUGGCGUGACCCCUCUUCACCGAGACUCCUUAAGAGAUUCCUUUGGUGGAAAGAUGGGAACCUAAGGAGGGUAACGCGCGCCUACCGAAUGACGGGUAUGUCUUUUCGGGUGUGUAUGGAGUCCCUCCUGUGCUGCUUACGCAUUGCAACGAACUUUGACCGACUGUGAGGAAGAAUAUGGCAUAGCUAGUAGUUACUGAACAUGGAGGGGCUUGUACGUAGACAACUUACUUCUUUCAGUACCCUCCACCGAAAAGGCAUCCAGAUUUACUCGCGAUCUUUGGCUCACAAAGAGAGGAUUUCUGCUAAGUGGGUUAGUAGUAACCUUAAGGAGACAUAGUACAGUACUGUGUCCUACAGAGAGAGACAGGAAUAAGAAUAGAUCUGAGUAAGGACGCACUGGCUACAAAACGGGAUCUGGAAAGGGAUCAAUCAAUCAACUAGCUGUGAGGGGAGUACUGAGGGUGAGCAGCUCCGUUCAUGACCCUCUUGGACUGGUCAGUCCUGUAAUGAUUAAGGCGAAGGCGAUGAUCAAUUAAGGCGAAGGCGAAGAUCUUUCAGGACGAGUGCAGCCGAUAAGGAAGGAUGGAUGACCCCCUCCUAAAUCACCACAGGUCCUAGUUGGUUGGCUUGGCUGGAGGAGUUACCAGGACUGACAGUCUUUCAAGUUCCCCGAUGCUACAGGCGGGAGGACAUGGGAGAUGUUUUAUCACUUACCAACUGCAUCAUUUCAGAUCAAACAGGCUGAGAUGGUGAUAUUAAGAGUUGUUCAAACCACAACGUGCAAAGAGGAGAUGAACAUCCUAAAGUCAAAGUCAAAGAAAAAAAACUACAGAGGAAACAUUCGAUCUGUCGAGUGGAACCCCUUCAUGGGUGAGGGUGGAUCCAGCCGUCCUCCAUGUGGACAGCUGGACCACGCACCGUUGCAUGCUACAAGUCAGUAUCCCAUUUCCAUGCUCAUACGGAGAGAGAUCAUCAUAUCACAAAAUUGAUUCUACAAGAGUGCAUGAGGACUUACUUGACAGUUCACGCAGGAUGGGAGCAUGUUACGUCACACUUACUGGAUUCCACAUACACCACCUGCCUGAGGACCGAGAGUAACCCCCAUGCUGGCACCAUUCUCGUCAGCUGGAGUGGAUUGCUUCAGACCGUUCUUGGUCAAAGUGGAAAGAAGCAGAGUGAGUGAGUGGGGAUGCCUCCACGUGCAUGACUACACACAUAAGAACAUAAGAAAUAAGGGAAGCUGCAAGAAGCGACCAGGCUUACACGUGGCAGUCCCUAUAUGAAAUAUACCUACCUAUUUUCUAUUUAUUAUCCCUAU